rnacentral:rRNA from 1 species
UAAACUAGGAUUAGAUACCCUAUUAUCGUAUAUGUUAAUUUUUACUAGGGUAAUAAUAGUUAUGUUCUUUAAACCUAAAGAAUUUGGCGGUGUUUUAAUCUAUUUAGAGGAAUUUGUGCCUUUAUCGAUAAUCCUCGUUUUAUCUUACUUUAUUUUGUUUAUCAGUAUGUAUACCGCCGUUAUAAGUUUAUUUUAUUAGAAUUAAUAAUUUACUUUAUUUUUAAAUAAGAAUUAUU